rnacentral:tRNA from 1 species
GGGGGCGUAGCUCAGUUGGGGAGAGCGAUUGGUUCGCAAUCAUUAGGUCAGGAGUCUGAUCCUCCUCGUCUCCA